rnacentral:tRNA from 1 species
GCAGGAGUAGCGAAGCGGUCAAACGUGACAGACUCAAGAUCUGUUGGCUUAACAUACUGCGGCCCCGAUAUGUGGCGCCGGGGUAUGGGCUACGCGCCUUCGAAGGUUCGAAUCCUUCCUCCUGCA